rnacentral:rRNA from 1 species
UUGACCUCGGAUCGGGUAGGGAUACCCGCUGAACUUAAGCAUAUCAAUAAGCGGAGGAAAAGAAACCAACAGGGAUUGCCUUAGUAACGGCGAGUGAAGCGGCAACAGCUCAAAUUUGAAAUCUGGCUCUUUCAGAGUCCGAGUUGUAAUUUGUAGAAGAUGCUUCGAGUGUGGUACCGGUCUAAGUUCCUUGGAACAGGACGUCAUAGAGGGUGAGAAUCCCGUAUGUGACUGGUCACCUUCGCUCAUGUGAAGCUCUUUCGACGAGUCGAGUUGUUUGGGAAUGCAGCUCAAAAUGGGUGGUAAAUUUCAUCUAAAGCUAAAUAUUGGCCAGAGACCGAUAGCGCACAAGUAGAGUGAUCGAAAGAUGAAAAGCACUUUGGAAAGAGAGUUAAACAGUACGUGAAAUUGUUGAAAGGGAAGCGCUUGCAACCAGACUUGCACGUAGUUAAUCAUCCGGGGUUCUCCCCGGUGCACUUGGCUACGUUCAGGCCAGCAUCGGUUUUGGUGGUUGGAUAAAGGCCUAGGGAAUGUGGCUCUCUUCGGGGAGUGUUAUAGCCCUAGGUGCAAUGCAGCCUACUGGGACCGAGGACCGCGCUUCGGCUAGGAUGCUGGCGUAAUGGUUGUAAGCGACCCGUCUUGAAAAC